AUUCAAGUUUUAGGAGCAUGGAGACAUAUAAAAGAGGGUUGGAAUAAUUGUAACAAAUGCCGUUUCCCUUAUAUGAUUGUAUGUCACAAUUGAUAAUAUGUUGCAAUUUACUAAGAUAAGGCUUAUCUUGAUUCACAGGUGCUGUAUUUGUGUAUCCAUCGGCCUUGGAAACAAGGAGAUUGAUUUGUAACAGUUUUUUAACUCACUUCAAUGGAAUAUGAGCACAGAUUAAAUGCACAGUAUUUUGCUGACACCUAUUGACACAAAUAUGAAGGCCCAGGCAUGCAUAUGUGCAGUAGAGUGAUAAAGCCUGUCCAUGCUUCUGCCCAGACCAGAACAAAGAGAAGACAAAAGAAGCGACAAUUAACUUUUUUCGAGAAUAGGAGCACUGGCCCAGGGUAUCAGCAUCUAAUUGGGGAGUACCAUUUGGAUGAAAAUGCAAGUUGAUGCAUGCCUAAGGCAGGACUGUCCAACAGGCAGCCUGGAGAUGUGCCCCCAAAAUGUUAAAUCUAUGCAACAGUCAUACUCUCCUUUCUAGCUGGUUCUGAGCUGUCAUUCAAGCCAUCAAAUUAUGUAGCCCAAGUUGGAUGGGCCAAUUUGUAAAAUGCUGCAAAUUUGGCACAGCUGCCUAAAAUUCUGGUUUUCUGUCUUAGUGAGACAACAGAACAUCAUCUGGCCAAGCUUUUGUCAGCAGAUCAGCUAUGAUUUUACUUGACUGGGUUAUCCAAAUCAUUUUGAGGCUGCACUGGUGCGCUGUUAACUGAAGGUACAACAGAUCACAAACAUUUGGCAGAUCAUCUUCAUUAUUCUUUUGACUGUCAGGACUGAAGUGCAGAACACAUUGCAUGAAUUAUCAGCUUUACAUCGUUAAAAGUUUUAUGGGCAUAUACAUUUUUUAGUAGAUAAAAGAGCAGACUAAUAGGUGUGUAGUGGAAAUCAAAGCAGAGAUACUUUCACAGCCAAUUACAUUGUGACUGCAGGGGGUGCUACACAAGGGAAAGAGAGGUAUUUAGGGGACUAUAAUAAAUAAUUUUAAAAUGUAAUCAAUGUCUACAUGCCAAUAGAGCAGCAGCAGAUUGUGCCAUAGAGAUUCGCAAGUAAAGAUAUGUACCACUGUACUCAAGUAUAUUUGACAGGUGACUUUACAUCAUCAGUUAUAAACGGUGAGUAGUGAUGUCAUAUUUGUCACAAGACUCACUAAAUCUUGUGUAUUAUAAUGA